UGGGGAAUCUUGCACAAUGGGGGCAACCCUGAUGCAGCGACGCCGCGUGAGCGAUGAAGCCCUUCGGGGUGUAAAGCUCUUUCGGCAGGAACGAUAAUGACGGUACCUGAAGAAGAAGCUGCGGCUAACUACGUGCCAGCAGCCGCGGUAAUACGUAGGCAGCGAGCGUUGUUCGGAGUUACUGGGCGUAAAGAGUGCGUAGGCGGUUUCGUAAGUCUGGUGUGAAAUCUCCCGGCUCAACUGGGAGGGUGCGCCGGAAACUGCGGAGCUGGAGUGUGGGAGGGGCAAGCGGAAUUCCUGGUGUAGCGGUGAAAUGCGUAGAUAUCAGGAGGAACACCUGCGGUGUAGACGGCUUGCUGGACCACUACUGACGCUGAGGCACGAAAGCGUGGGGAGCAAA
rnacentral:rRNA from 1 species